AGAGUUUGAUCCUGGCUCAGGACGAACGCUGGCGGCGUGCUUAACACAUGCAAGUCGAACGAAGCAACUAAGAGUGCUUGCACAAAUAGUUGACUGAGUGGCGGACGGGUGAGUAACGCGUGAGCGACCUACCUUAAAGAGGGGACAACAGUUGGAAACGACUGCUAAUACCGCAUAAGACCACAAUGCUGCAUGGCAAAGGGGUCAAAGGAGCAAUCCGCUUUAAGAUGGGCUCGCGUCCCAUUAGGUAGUUGGUGAGGUAACGGCUCACCAAGCCGACGAUGGGUAGCCGACCUGAGAGGGUGAUCGGCCACACUGGAACUGAGACACGGUCCAGACUCCUACGGGAGCA
rnacentral:rRNA from 1 species